AUAACGACUCUCGGCAACGGAUAUCUCGGCUCUCGCAUCGAUGAAGAACGUAGCAAACUGCGAUACUUGGUGUGAAUUGCAGAAUCCCGUAAACCAUCGAGUCUUUGAACGCAAGUUGCGCCCGAAGUCAUUUGGCAGAGGGCACGUUUGCCUGGGUGUCACA
rnacentral:rRNA from 1 species